AAAGCAUUCUUUCUUUAGCAUCCCACUGGAUUCUUUUUUCAGAGCACAACUGAAGGGCUUCAUUUGGUUCCCGACAACAUUCCAGGCACAGAACUACAACACAUCAUGUAUUUCACCACUACCGUCAGGUCAGAAAAGCCUCACUUUUAUGAGAAAUGCAUAACGAGGCAAAAAGCCCAGAAGAUCAAAAAAACUCAUCUCUCCUGGCAGCAUCUAGAAAUUUGUCCCCACUGCUUCUUGAUAAGAUGUUUACGGCCAAGUUCACUUCAGAAACCAGUACUAUGAGGCUGGAGUUAGCUGUCCUAAAGGUCUGCAGGGCUUUUACCACUUGCACACCGUACCCACAUGGCCAACAUGUGAUAGAGAGGCCAAGCGGAACACCUGCUUGCAAAACAAGUCUUUGCAAAAACAAGAUAAACUACCAACGUCAGCCCGCUCUACAAAACAAGUUCCCUUAAAACUGCCAGAAUACUUUGUUCUAUCCCAGGAUCAUUCUUUGGUCAGGGGCCUUUAGGUCCCCGACACAAGAAGGGGAUGGGAACCUCUGUUCAGCAAGAAUAAUUUCCAAAUCCCUCAUGGACGCAGCAAGAAUUCUUCUCCAGGAAAAACAAACUCAGCUGAACUCUAGCUAAAUUAACUGAUAUCCCUCAUGAUCCGCCAAUUUUCGUGAUGGAUUAUGUGGAAGCUUUAUGAAGUUCAAAAAUAGCACUGUGCUCCUCCCUCCUCCCUGUCUGAGGGUCUGCCUGCUAUCAGAAGAUUGAUCAGCCACAGGCAGAACUUCCCCACUACAAUGAACAUAAUCCUCCAGUUCACUGGUUUAAGUGAGUCUUGAAGGAUUACUUUUCAGUGUAAUGAGGGGUUAGAUGCUUCCCAAGAUAGCUGGAUGGCCUUUGUGGGUUUUUAAUAUAAGCCAGUACACAAGAAGUUACAGCACUGUAGUCUUGUCACUUAGAUAUUUUUCCCAUUUCUCAUUAAAAAAAAAAAAAAAAAAAAAAAAAAAAAAAAAAAAAAAGACCUCCUCAUUCCUGGGAGCUGCUUUCUCAAACAGAUCACGGAGAAAAGAGUUCUUGAGGAAGUUUCUCUUAUUUGUUUGCUUUUUUUCCAAAUAGCAUCAAUUGCUUUCUUCUUUAAAAAAAAAAUAAAAAAAUCUGUUCCAUUAUCAAACAUUCCCCAUGAUUGCUGGUGUGAUUAAAGGCACCUAGGUAAGAUCAUUUUCUCCACAGGGUUUUCUUAGAGUGGAGAAGUGGCAUUCCACAACUCAUUUGCACGGCACAUCCAUGCAUCCUGAUGGCCAGGCACACUCUGACCUUCUCUCUGUGUUAGAACUGAAAUAGGAUUCAGUCCAUAGCAGACCUCGGAAGAUUUCUCACUGUCCAAAUUCACAUGCAGG
ensembl:lncRNA